rnacentral:lncRNA from 1 species
GCAUUGUAUACGGUGCAGCAGAGGCACUCUGACCCUUGUAGAUAGGGUAUCCUCUUGUGAGGAUUGGAUCAUACUCACUAGUCUGUUUUCGCUUGUCGGUGGUCGCUCCACCGAGGCACGAGUCUCCGGAGUACUUCACUAGGGGCAGACGUAGUUGUCCCGCAGACGGUCUCGGUGUGCGAGUGCAGUUUCUCCUCACCUAUGAGAUUGAGAGUGAGUCGAGGGUUUAACCUUCGGGUUAACCAAGUAGAUUGGGUAAUAAACAUGAAAUGCAUAGUAGAUUUGCAUUAUUAUCUUGAGUAGACAUAGUGUAUGUUGUAGUUUGCAUUGCUAUGUACUUUUCUAUACUCAUGACAUGAUACUAGCAUGAUAGUAGUUGUUGCAUGCAUUAUUAUCAUUGGUGGCAUGAUAGAGUAGUUGCAGUUUAUCUUUAUAUAUCUAUCUAUCUCUCUAUCUGUGCCAGCUUAGACCUAGUGGGAAAACCGGCGGAGUCGGCGGCCGAACCCACUGGGAACUAUAUUUAUAUAGUUCUCACCCCAUGUGGUUUUGGGGUACAGGUACAUACAGGGGCGAGCCGAGCG